GCGGUAAUAGCUCAGUUGGCAGAGCGGAAGCUUCCCAAGCUUCAGGUCGUGGGUUCGAAUCCCAUUUCCCGCU
rnacentral:tRNA from 1 species